UUAUUACAUAUUGAGCCUUAUUAUUGGACUUGGAUGAAGCCCAUUGACCACGUACAAAAACGUCAUAGAAAAUUGAAAAAAUUUUGGGCAGUUUGUUCUACCGAAAAAGAACAAAUACAGCAACAAGAAAGGAUGAUUUCUCGAGGAGUUCCUUCAACCAAAACGGAGAGUAGACAUGGAAAAUCUCCCUCCCUUUAAUCUCAGGCAACCACAGAAGACCACAAUCAAGAAAAUGUGGAUUUAUGCAGUACACAUCAACAUAUGGGUUUGUCCAACAAAAACUCAUAAAGAGAUGAAAAUGAAGAGGUGAACCACCAUUGUUUGAUACUUCAAGCAUUAGCGAAGAAGAUAGCCACUGAAAAAAGGAAAAUAUCUACUGCCAACCUAAGAGCAAGCUUCAUUGUUCAGCAGAAAUUUUUUGUUAAAAGAAAAUUUUAUACACACCAGCCACUGUCGGAACCAACACAAUCAUCAACGAACAUCCACUUUUGAAGCAUUCGAAGCAUAACUCCAUUUGGCCUCGUUAAGGCAGCCUUGCAUUUCACCACCUCCGGCAAAGGUCGACGAGGCAAUCACGGACUUUAGCAAGAAGCAGCCUCCACAAUAUAGCGCAAGUUCUAACAUCUUUCACCGGUACAAAGCAUUAAUUCCUUGAUGGGGACAAGACAGGUUGCGUGGAUUGUAGUGUCUUGGGCUGUCCAUUUCAGCCCUCUCCUGUAGACUUUUUGGUGGCAAGUGGAAUAGGCUUUUUUGCAGGUUCAUAGGUACUCUUGCUGGCUUCACACGUUAUUAUUAGUUGAGAUAAUGAAAAAGGAAAAUGCUGGCGUUGUCACCCCUUCGACAGAACCCCACCAAUAGGUGGGGACGGGCCCCUUUUUUUGUGCAGGACCUACCCCUAUUGUUGGGGAUUGAAAAUUGUUGGAGUAACG
rnacentral:lncRNA from 1 species